CGAGUGGCGGACGGGUGAGUAACACGUGGGUAACCCGCCCUUAAGUGGGGGAUAACAUUUGGAAACAGAUGCUAAUACCGCAUAGAUCCAAGAACCGCAUGGUUCUUGGCUGAAAGAUGGCGUAAGCUAUCGCUUUUGGAUGGACCCGCGGCGUAUUAGCUAGUUGGUGAGGUAAUGGCUCACCAAGGCGAUGAUACGUAGCCGAACUGAGAGGUUGAUCGGCCACAUUGGGACUGAGACACGGCCCAAACUCCUACGGGAGGCAGCAGUAGGGAAUCUUCCACAAUGGACGCAAGUCUGAUGGAGCAACGCCGCGUGAGUGAAGAAGGCUUUCGGGUCGUAAAACUCUGUUGUUGGAGAAGAAUGGUCGGCAGAGUAACUGUUGUCGGCGUGACGGUAUCCAACCAGAAAGCCACGGCUAACUACGUGCCAGCAGCCGCGGUAAUACGUAGGUGGCAAGCGUUAUCCGGAUUUAUUGGGCGUAAAGCGAGCGCAGGCGGUUUUUUAAGUCUGAUGUGAAAGCCCUCGGCUUAACCGAGGAAGCGCAUCGGAAACUGGGAAACUUGAGUGCAGAAGAGGACAGUGGAACUCCAUGUGUAGCGGUGAAAUGCGUACAUAUAUGGAAGAACACCAGUGGCGAAGGCGGCUGUCUGGUCUGUAAC
rnacentral:rRNA from 1 species